rnacentral:rRNA from 1 species
UACGGAGGGGGCUAGCGUUGUUCGGAAUUACUGGGCGUAAAGCGCGCGUAGGCGGACCUGCAAGUCGGGGGUGAAAGCCCGAGGCUCAACCUCGGAACUGCCUUCGAUACUGCGGAUCUCGAGUCCGGGAGAGGUGAGUGGAACUCCGAGUGUAGAGGUGAAAUUCGUAGAUAUUCGGAAGAACACCAGUGGCGAAGGCGGCUCACUGGCCCGGUACUGACGCUGAGGUGCGAAAGCGUGGGGAGCAAACAGG